UUCUUCACCAGACCUCAUCGCCUCUGCCGGAGCUGCCUGCCGGAAUUCGUCUCCGCCGGUGGCGGUAACCCAAUCGACCCCAAAUUAACGCCAUAGACUCCCCUCCUUCUCCUCUUCCCAAAUCUCCAAAAUCCCUCCCUUGAAUCCUAACAAAACUCUUCGAAUCUUGAAUCGAAGAGGAAGACCAAAACUCCAACUCACCCAAUCGUCCACAAAUUAACACCACAUAGCCACCACGACCCCCUCAUGCCAAAUCCUCACUUCGUUUCCCUUGAAUCUUGCCGGAGCUUCUCGAAUCCUAAAUCUGAGUUCGAGCCCUAAAAGUUCAAAAUCAUUUUUCUAUCGGAUCUGGUACAUGCAUGGUCAUAGGGCAUUGUUUCUUCGAGUUCUGAAUUGGUAAGCUCUUUUCCCCUCUUGUCUUUCUUUCUUUUACUAUCUUAUUCUCUUUCUCCUUCCCCUUUAUUUAGCUUAGUUUUCUUAUACUAAUCUGGCUGAAACUCGAUUAAUCUUUCGAGUUUAAAUUUGUCUUCUGUUCACUGUUGUUUCUUUCUCUUCUUCGUGAAAGCCUGUUUUCUGAUUUCUUUAGUCCAUUGUGUUAACAGCAUGGCUAAUUCUCCGAUCUUGCCUUUCUGUUUAGUCACCCAGUUAGUUUAAUUAGGUUAUUUCAACUUAGUUAAUUCCCUGCCUAGUUGUGUUAAAAUCAGUAAUUUAAGUCGGUUUGCUUUGAAAUCAUGUCAUGUUAUCAUGCUUGCAGAUUUUCUCUUCAAAUAGAUAAGUGUUCGUUUGGGCUUUGGGUUGUCUCUGGUCCAUUUGGAAAAGAGCAUCCCAUCCAAAUUGGUUUGGGUUAUUGGGUAAAUUCUGACCCAUUUUUGGGUCUGGUUUUAAGAGGUAAUAACAGGGUCAUUAAGGGGUAAUUUGGGUAGUCUAGGCUUGGGAAUCUUAUAUAACUGAACUAGAAAGCUUCGUAGAAGCUGGGGUGGGGGGCAAUUUUGAAAUUCUGAGGUUUACACUAGGGAUUUCUAAGCUAAAAUGAAAAUUUCAGAAGGUUUUAAGUGCAAUUUUGAACUCUUUAAGACUGCCCUAGUAACUUGCCUAUAAAGGCAUCGUUACUUAGAGCUCAAGGGAGAUUUUUUUGAGAGCUAGAAAAUCAGAAAUACACCAAACGACUAAAAACACUGUUCCAUUGGAAUCCUGCCCUAAAUUUUAAGUUGUUCCUAGAUUUCAAAAUAAUUUCUGAAGCCUUUUAAGUGUAAAUGGUUUGAUCUUGUGCCGGAAAAGCUUUGGGGUUGAGUUUGUUUGAAGUUUUCACUGUUCUAUUGAUCUUUUGUUUGGGUUUUCAGAAAGUUUUCAAAGUUUUGAAGCAUUUUUGAUUCAUCUGAGGUUGAGUGUGAAUUGAUUUGGGUUUGGAAACUAGUUUAAGGUUGGGUCUUGGGGUUUGCUGUGUGUCAACCUAUGUUGAACUUGGGUUUACUGAUUGUUACUCAAAUCUGUGUUGUGCUGCUCGCUGCUAGCUACUGAUUCUUCACUCUUUUGGUUACUAUCUUAUUUCUAGGUAUUUUCAGCCCUAUGGAUAUCAUUUGAGUGUAAUCUAAAGUUUGGAUAUGGAAAUACGAUGAAAGCCGAU
rnacentral:lncRNA from 1 species